GGGGAUAUAGCUCAGUUGGUAGAGUGCUUGCCUUGUAUGCACAAGGCCCUAGGUUUAUCCCCA
rnacentral:tRNA from 1 species